rnacentral:rRNA from 1 species
UACGAAGGGUGCUAGCGUUGUUCGGAAUUACUGGGCGUAAAGCGUACGUAGGCGGCUUGGUAAGUCGAUCGUGAAAGCCCCAAGCUCAACUUGGGAACUGCGAUCGAUACUGCUUCGCUUGAGUUUGGUCGGGGAUGGUGGAAUUUCUAGUGUAGGGGUGAAAUCCGUAGAUAUUAGAAGGAAUAUCGGUGGCGAAGGCGACCAUCUAGGCCAAUACUGACGCUAAGGUACGAAAGCGUGGGGAGCAAACAGGAUUAGAAACCCGUGUAGU